rnacentral:lncRNA from 1 species
CUGAUUCAACUUCAGUAAUUCACUACUAUCUAUAUAUUGGAGGUUGUCUUCAAAUUAUACUAUAGGCCCCUCCAAAAAAAAAAAAUUAGAAAUGAGAAUAUACUCUAUUGUCCAUAUUUUUCCUUGUUGCCGCAUUCAUCCUCCAUUUUUUUUCAGGACUAAUUAACGUUCUGCAAUUCUUAUUAUAUACAAAUGAUAUUAGAGCCACUCUGCGUGUAACCUUGGACAAUGAAGGGACAAAACUUAAUGUUCAAUUGAGUUUAGAUGAAUCCCACAAAUUUGAGAUGAUAUGCGAUCGAAUUUCAACGGGGAUAAUAUUGAAUUUUUAAUGGGUGGUGCACAUAUAUCAGAUAAUUUAGGCGAAUUCCAUGUUGGCAAAACACAUGAGAGACAUUAGAUAUAUAAGGAAACAAGUGGCAGAUUUUAAUCACGCGUUUUAGUCGUGUGUGUCUAGAUCCAAAGCGAAUAUUAUCACUAUUGGAGUGGACUGAUAGAAUUACAUUGAAUUAAUUUAAUAAUUUUUUUUUCUUGGAAAAUUGAUGUGUAGUUGUUGUACAAAAUAAAGGACUACAUGGUGACCAAGUUGGAACCCUUGACCCAAAGGACAGCAAAGCUCAACAGAUUCCUUUUCUACCACUAGACACACUACACACUUUGGUAUGGAUUUUCAAAUUUUAUUUGUUGUAUAUUUA